rnacentral:tRNA from 1 species
GGUCCAUUGGAGUAGUGGUUAUCUCGCCUCCCUGUCACGGAGGAGAUCGUCGGUUCA